UGUGAUGUAGCUUAGAGGUAGAACAUUUGCCUAUCACGCACAAAGCCCUCGGUUCAAACCCCAGCAUCACCA
rnacentral:tRNA from 1 species